AAGACACUCUCAACGAUUCAAGGCAGUUAAGAAGUUUUUCUUCUGCAAUUCCAGAUCGUAACUCAUGAAUAUACUCUUGAGAUGACAGCGUGCAUUCAUGUUUGCUAUUUUUGAGUCCACCAGAUUUAGCAGUGGCAGAAAUGUACUGGACAACCAUCUCACGUUUUGUGGAUAAAUCCUUCUCUCUUAGAGGAGCUUUCCGUUC
rnacentral:lncRNA from 1 species